CUCUUUGUGAUUCAACAGUGAACAAGUAGCUCCUACGUUCAAACCUUACUUACCAACAACACGUCUUGUGUUCGUGUAGGAUCUAAGGAACAUAGGAGGAUAAGCUGGGAUCAUCUAGAGACUUCUUACAAAGUUAAGAAAAUGUUCAACCCAAUCUCUCCCCUGGUUCCAAAAUAAGUUUUAAAAUGCAGUUUCAGCUGCUGUGCAUCAAACUGCUACCUGUGACUGAACUUGGAUGUGAAUAUGGUCACGGGAAAUGCUAAAGGAGGGGUAGGACACUCGUGAACCAUAUGAACUGGGACUCGCAACAGGUCAGGAGACUUUAAGAAGGGAAAUGACUCCAGAAUGACGGGAGGCUGUCACAAUGGAAUUGUGAAGAUACACUAACGCAUGAGCUGACUAAGGAAAAGAGUAUUAUCUAUUUGAAGAGGCUUAUGUAGUUGCACAGGCUGUUCUCUAAUGAGUGAAGAUAUAAACAGGUAUGUAUAUACAAAGGAAAAAUGACUAGGAACAGAAAAAGGAUGGGAACUCAGGAGUAAGGUGAUUCAUUUGGGAGCAGUAACUAUCCAUGGAGCUCUAUUCUUCUGCUGGGAAGCAGGAUUCCUCCAUGGGAAGCAAGAUGAAGAAGAAAAAUUGCAGUGUCCACCAGACCACAGAAGAUGUGUCCUCAAACAGUGUCACUAUACAAGGAGGCUGAUUGAGGUGUUAAGGUGUAUCAGUCAGACAGGUAAAAUUUCCUAGUUUCAUGUACUCCCAUGGGUAUUAACUAGGAUCCUGACAGGGUCUGCAAUCCUGGUCAUACUCCAGGCCACAUGGAGAAAGAGAUUAGCAAAGGAUGGACAGGUUAUUAGAGCCACAACCAAAUAAGUUAGCGGGAGUCCCAUCUCCAGUCAGGUACAAGAGUGCAAAUCAGGGUCUGGGGAAGUCAGUUACUGGGCUGGGAAAUUAUAGCAUGAGAUAUUGAGAAUAGGUGGUCAGUGGGUGUAUACGGAUAUAGGGUAGUGGAGAACGAAGGAAAAUCCCCACUAAGAACAAGCGAUGCCAACCUUAAGCAGC
rnacentral:lncRNA from 1 species